rnacentral:rRNA from 1 species
GACGAACGCUGGCGGCGUGCUUAACACAUGCAAGUCGAACGGAAAGGCCCAGCUUGCUGGGUGCUCGAGUGGCGAACGGGUGAGUAACACGUGGGUGAUCUGCCUCUAACUUCGGGAUAAGCUUGGGAAACUGGGUCUAAUACCGGAUAGGACAAUCGUUUAGUGUCGGUUGUGGAAAGUUUUUUCGGUUGGGGAUGAGCCCGCGGCCUAUCAGCUUGUUGGUGGGGUAGUGGCCUACCAAGGCGUCGACGGGUAGCCGGCCUGAGAGGGUGGACGGCCACAUUGGGACUGAGAUACGGCCCAGACUCCUACGGGAGGCAGCAGUGGGGAAUAUUGCACAAUGGGCGCAAGCCUGAUGCAGCGACGCCGCGUGGGGGAUGACGGCCUUCGGGUUGUAAACCUCCUUCGACAGGGACGAAGCUUUGGUGACGGUACCUGGAUAAGAAGCACCGGCUAACUACGUG